AAAAAAUCUUGCUUUAUUUAAGUAUGAGACCUUGUUCCGUUUGGUAAUAAGUAUAAACAGGGGCUUUGCUACGUGUGGACCAGUGUUUUGUGUCUUUUUUGCUUAAAAUAUCAUCAGGACUUACAACAACAUCUUAGGUAUUUGCGACGUAGUGAAGCAGCUGAAUUUAAAUUUACGAAAAUGAUGAGAAAUGAAAGUGAUAUAUUUUGCCUGAAAGAACCGAAACUUGGUGAAAGCGAUGGUAGCCAAAUAUACUCCAUGAGCGGUUCACCUUUUUCAAGAAUAAACAGACGCCACCAGCAAAGCAACGACGUCUUCCAAUUUGAUUUACCCUCAAAAACUGAAGAGUCUAUCAAACUUCCUGAUACUGCAAAUCCUGAAAUUGAAGAAUCUGAAACAUUUGAACAAGCCGACAUGGAAAGCCCACAGGAAGAAAAACCAGAGUUGAUUAUUCAGGAACUUUCUGUAGAGCCGAAUAUUUAUCCUGAAACUGAACAGUCUGAAACACAUGACUCAACCGACAAGGAAAGCCCACCUGAGAAAGAAACGGAACCUAUUUUCGAGGGACCUUCUGGGCAGCCAAAUGUUUCAUCUUCCAACAUGAUACGCAACCCCGUGACGGGUGUAGGUUUGGAAGCCGAUGAAAUACAUGAAAAAAGACAUUAUGGUUUGGAAUUGCAAGCCGAUAAGGAAGGUGAUGGAUCCAGAAGACAUUAUGGUCAGCAGUUGAUACAUGAGAAGGGGCAUUAUGGUUUGGAACACAGUUUGGAAUUGGAAGCCGAUGAGGCAAAUGCAGCAGGUCAAGUCACCCGUUGGGAAGACGAUAAAGUACAUGAGAAAAGACAUUAUGGUUUGGAAUUAGAAGCCGAUAAGGAAGGUGGAUCCAGAAGACAGUACGGUCAGCAAUUGAUACAUGAGAAGGGGCAUUAUGGUUUGGAAUUAGAAGCCGAAGCCGAUGAGAAAGAUGGGGCAGGUCAAGUUACCCGUUUGGAAAACGAUAAAGUACAUGAGAAAAGACAUUAUGACCAUCAAUAAUUGAUUCAAGAUUCAAUAUAAUAUACCUACUUCAAAACAUUAUAAUUAUAUCCUUUUUCAUUGCAAAAAUGUUCAAAAAUGCAUAGGCAUAAUAAUUUAAUUAUCUUAGCUUUUAGUAUAAGGAUGAAAUGUAUUCUUAACAUCACUGAUAAAACUAAAGCUUUAUUUAUCUUUUGUUAAAAUAAUAAAUUGCAUGAAUUAAAUCAUGAAAUAGUCAAAAUUAGACUUUCAAUGUAUGUAUAUAUUUAUUUAUGCAUUGGGACACCCCAAUAUCUCAACAAAACUAUUGACUUUUAUAGAAGGCAACUAACAAAUAACGUCAUUAAUUAGACCAUAUUACUCAAUAUUGGAAAAUAAUUAAAAAAUAUCGGCGAUUCAAAUCUAGUAUACUUAAGAUUACGUUGUUAACAAAAAUCAAUAAAUUGUAAUUCUGGGCAAAUUUCUGCGCAAUUUUAUAAUUUUAUCCACAAAGCAAAUUAAACCUUUUAGGGACUUUUGUUUUACAAGGAUUAGCCAGUGACAAAGACAUCAACAAUUUCAAAAAAAAAUGUAUUUUGUGUAAAUCUGUACAAAAUAAGCACAAUUUUUAAAGAAUAAUAAUUUGUUUUAAUAUGGUUGAUCUAAAUUUUCAAAUAAAUUUUUUCUAUAUAAAAAUUUGACAUUCAUUUGACAGUAGGUAUUUGCGACGCAGUUACAAUUAAAGUUUAAAAAAAUGACGACGAAUCCAAGCGAUAUUCUUUGCCUGAAAGAGCCGAAAUUUGGUGAAAGUGACGGUAGCCAAAUAUACUCCAUCCACGGUUCGCCUUCGAGAAUCAACAGACCACCAAGAACUCAAGAACCUCAAGAGUGCUUCAACAUAAAUGAAAUUGCAAAUCCUACCGGUAAGGAUAAGAAAGGUGGAUCCAUGAGACAUGAUGGUCAAGUCACUCGUUUGGAAAACGAUAAAAAACAUGAGAAAAGGCAUUAUGGUCAACAAAAUUGAUUCAAUAAAAUACCUAUGCUUACUUAAAAAUAUGUAUCCUUUUUUUGUUGCAAAAAUGUUAAAAAAUGAAUAGGCAUAAUAAUGUAUUUUUUUAGUUUAUAGUUAUUACGAUGAAACGGUGAUGUGAUAUGUAUUAACAUCACUGUGGAAAAAUAAUAAAUAGGCAUUUUUUUAUUAGCUUUUAGUUAUAACGACAGUACGGUGAUGUAUGUAUUCUCUUAACACUACUAAUGAAAAUUAAAAUUUUAUUAUCUUUUGUUAAAAUAAUAAACUGCAUGAAUUAAAUUAUGAAAUAGCCAAAAUAUUAGACUUUCAAUGUAUAUAUUUAUUUAUGAAUUUGAACACCUCAAUACCUAAAAACAAAACUACCUAUUGAUCUUUAUAAGUAUAAGGCAUAUAUGAAUUUCACAAUAUUAUAAUUCUGAGCAUACACAAAACUGAAGAAAUUUUAAAGCGCAAUUUCAUGUUUUUAUUGACGACGUAAUUUACAAAAUCCAAAGCAAAGUAAACCUUUUAGGGACUUUUGUUUUACAAGGAUUAGCCAGUGAUAAGGACCUAACGAUUUAAAAAAAAAAUGUAUUUUGUGUAAAAUGUGUGCAAAAUAGAAGCACAAUUUUUAAAGAAUAAUAAUUAUUUUGAAUGAUUGAUCUAAAUUUACAAAUAAAUUUUUUUUAAUAUAAAAAUUGACAUUCAUUUGACAGUAGGUAUUUGCGACGCAGUUACGAUUAAAGUUUAAAAAAUGACUACGAAUCCAAGCGAUAUUCUUUGCUUGAAAGAGCCUAAAUUUGGUGAAAGCGACGGUAGCCAAAUAUACUCCAUCCACGGUUUGCCUUCGAGAAUCAACAGACCACCAAGAUCUCAAGAACCUCAAGAGUGUAUCAACAUUUCUGAAAUUGCAAAUCCUACCGAUAAGGAAGGUAAAUCCAGGAGACAUGAUGGUCAAGUCACUCGUUUGGAAAACGAUAAAAAACAUGAGAAAAGGCAUUAUGGUCAACAAUAUUGAUUCAAUAAAAUACCUACCUAUGCUUACUUAAAAAUAUGUAUCCUUCUUUUGUUGCAAAAAUGUUGAAAAAUUAAUACGCAUAAUAUUGUAAUUUUUUAGCUUAUAGUGAUUACGAAGAAACGGUGAUGUGAUAUGUAUUAACAUCACUGUAGAAAAGUAAAUAGGCAUAAUAAUAUUGUAAGUAUUCUUAACAUUAUUGAUAAAAAUUAAAGCUUUAGUAUCUUUUGUUAAAAUAAUAAAUAAAUGAAUUAACCAAAA